CAUAAAAAAGAAAAGAGUAUGAACAUAGCCCAAGUUCUCCUGAAAAUUCUGAAAUUUUAAAAAAGAAGAGAGAUUAAUUUUGAAGAGCAAAAGUAGAAUUAGAAUUAGCCACCACAUAUACACCUAUCCACCACAUUCCACACACAUGCACAUCUUGGUUUAAUUGUAUGACUCAAUUCUCUAUAUAUCCUUUAUUUGACUUUACAAUAUGUUGACGGUUGAUAACAUCAACUUUUAUUAGAACUUUAAACCCAAAGGAGAACAUGAAAACACACUAGUCUA
rnacentral:lncRNA from 1 species